rnacentral:rRNA from 1 species
GGAAAAGAAACUAACAAGGAUUCCCCUAGUAACUGCGAGUGAAGCGGGAAAAGCUCAAAUUUAAAAUCUGGCGGUCUCAGGCCGUCCGAGUUGUAAUCUAGAGAAGUGUUAUCCGCGCUGGACCGUGUACAAGUCUCCUGGAAUGGAGCGUCAUAGAGGGUGAGAAUCCCGUCUUUGACACGGACUGCCAGGGCUUUGUGAUGCGCUCUCAAAGAGUCGAGUUGUUUGGGAAUGCAGCUCAAAAUGGGUGGUAAAUUCCAUCUAAAGCUAAAUAUUGGCGAGAGACCGAUAGCGAACAAGUACCGUGAGGGAAAGAUGAAAAGAACUUUGGAAAGAGAGUUAAACAGUACGUGAAAUUGCUGAAAGGGAAACGCUUGAAGUCAGUCGCGUUGGCCGGGGAUCAACCUUGCUUUUGCUGGGUGUACUUCCCGGUCGACGGGUCAGCAUCAAUUUUGACCGUUGGAUAAAGUCUGAGGGAAUGUGGCAUCUCCGGAUGUGUUAUAGCCCUCGGUCGCAUACAACGAUUGGGAUUGAGGAACUCAGCACGCCGAAAGGCCGGGUACUUGUACCACGUUCGUGCUUAGGAUGCUGGCAUAAUGGCUUUAAUCGACCCGUCUU